ACUCUACCCCAACAGAACACACAUAAUAUGCACUAACUGAUGUCCAGUGUGAAGUGCAGCUGUUGGAGACUGGAGGAGGCUUGGUGCAACCUGGGGGGUCACGGGGACUCUCUUGUGAAGGCUCAGGGUUCACUUUUAGUGGCUUCUGGAUGAGCUGGGUUCGACAGACACCUGGGAAGACCCUGGAGUGGAUUGGAGACAUUAAUUCUGAUGGCAGUGC
rnacentral:lncRNA from 1 species